rnacentral:rRNA from 1 species
GAUGAACGCUAGCUACAGGCUUAACACAUGCAAGUCGAGGGACCGGCGCACGGGUGAGUAACCCGUAUCCAACCUGCCCUUUACUCGGGGAUAGCCUUUAGAAAGAAAGAUUAAUACCCGAUAUAAAGGAUGGGGAUGCGUUCCAUUAGGUUGUUGGUGAGGUAACGGCUAACCAAGCCUUCGAUGGAUAGGGGUUCUGAGAGGCAGGUCCACCACAUUUGAACUUAGCCCCGGUCCAAGCUCCGACGUGCGGGAGCAGUGAGGUAUAUUGUUCAAUGGGGGCUAGCCUGACCCAGCCAAGUAGCGUAAAGAAUGAAGGCUUAUGGAUCUUAAUCUUCUUUUAUAUAAGAAUAGUUAUUCGAUGAAUAAGGAUCGGCUAACUCCGUGCCAGCAGCCGCGGUAAUUC